AUUGAACGCUGGCGGCAGGCCUAACACAUGCAAGUCGAGCGAGCGGCGGACGGGUGAGUAAUGUCUGGGAAACUGCCGGAUGGAGGGGGAUAACUACUGGAAACGGUAGCUAAUACAGCAUAACAUCAGAUGUGCCCAGAUGGGAUUAGCUAGUAGGUGGGGUAAUGGCUCACCUAGGCGACGAUCCCGAGCUGGUCGCAGAGGAUGACCAGCCAAACUGGAACUAGGACACGGUCCAGACUCCUACGGGAGGCAGCAGUGGGGAAUAUUGCACAAUGGGCGCAAGCCUGAUGCAGCCAUGCCGCGUGUAUGAAGAAGGCCUUCUGGUUGUAAAGUACUUUCAGCGAGGAGGCGUUACUCGCAGAAGAAGCACCGGCUAACUCCGUGCCAGCAGCCGCGGUAAUAC
rnacentral:rRNA from 1 species